rfam:Schistosoma haematobium scaffold1032_23, whole genome shotgun sequence.
AUGCAGCUGACGAGUCGCAAUUAAGACGAAACGCGUGUCCUGAAU